GACAGAGGUCCCGAGCGUUAGGCGGAAUCACUGGGCUUAAAGCGUGUGUAGGCGGAUCGUUAAGUGCCUUGUGAAAUCCCACGGCUUAACCGUGGAACUGCUUGGCAUACUGGCGGUCUUGAGCAACCUAGGGGCAAGCGGAACAAAUGGUGGAGCGGUGAAAUGCGUAGAUAUCAUUUGGAACGCCAAUGGUGAAAACAGCUUGCUGGGGGUUUGCUGACGCUGAGACACGAAAGCCAGAGGAGCAAACGGG
rnacentral:rRNA from 1 species